AACGAACGCUGGCGGCGCGCUUAACACAUGCAAGUCGAACGAGAAGGCGUAGCAAUACGCUUGUACAGUGGCGAACGGGUGAGUAAUACGUGGGCGACCUACCCUCGAGUGGGGAAUAACCCGCCGAAAGGCGGGCUAAUGCCGCGUACGCUUCCAUCUUUAUGGAGGUGGAAGGAAAGCCGUGCCGUGGGCACGGCGCUCAAGGAUGGGCUCACGUCCUAUCAGCUUGUUGGAGGGUAACGGCCUACCAAGGCUCCGACGGGUAGCUGGUCUGAGAGGACGAUCAGCCACACUGGCACUGCGACACGGGCCAGACUCCUACGGGGAGGCAGCAGUGAGGAAUAUUGCGCAAUGGGCGAAAGCCUGACGCAGCGACGCCGCGUGGGGGGAUGAAGGUCUUCGGAUUGUAAACCCC
rnacentral:rRNA from 1 species